UACGUAGGGUGCAAGCGUUGUCCGGAAUUAUUGGGCGUAAAGAGCUCGUAGGCGGUCUGUCGCGUCGGCUGUGAAAACCCGGAGCUCAACUCCGGGCCUGCAGUCGAUACGGGCAAACUGGAGUACUGCAGGGGAGACUGGGAUUCCUGGUGUAGCGGUGAAAUGCGCAGAUAUCAGGAGGAACACCGGUGGCGAAGGCAGCCCCCUGGGCUGACACUGACGCUCAGGCACGAAAGCGUGGGGAGCAAACAGG
rnacentral:rRNA from 1 species